rnacentral:rRNA from 1 species
GACGUAGGGAGCAAGCGUUGUCCGGAAUUACUGGGCGUAAAGAGCUCGUAGGCGGGAGCGUACGUCUGAGAUGAAAUCUCAAGGCUCAACUUUGGGGCUUUCUCAGAUACGGCGCUUCUUGAGUGUAAGAGAGGAAAGCAGAAUUCCCGGUGUAGCGGUGAAAUGCGUAGAUAUCGGGAGGAAUACCAGUGGCGAAGGCGGCUUUCUGGCUUACUACUGACGCUGAGGAGCGAAAGCGUGGGGAGCGAACGGG